rnacentral:rRNA from 1 species
AACGAACGCUGGCGGCAUGCCUAACACAUGCAAGUCGAACGAGACCUUCGGGUCUUGUGGCGCACGGGUGCGUAACGCGUGGGAACCUGCCCUUAGGUUCGGAAUAACUCCCCGAAAGGGGUGCUAAUACCGGGUAAUGUCUUCGGACCAAAGAUUUAUCGCCUUUGGAUGGACCCGCGUUGGAUUUGCUAGUUGGUAGGGUAAAAGCCUACCAAGGGGACGAUCCAUAGCUGGUCUGAGAGGAUGUUCCGCAACACUGGGACUGGGACACGGCCCAGACUCCUACGGGAGGAAGCAGUGGGGAAUAUUGGACAAUGGGCGAAAGACUGAUGCAGCAAGGCCGCGUGAGUGAUGAAGGCCUUAGGGUUGUAAAGCUCUUUUAACCGGGAUGAUAGUGACGGUACCGGGAGAAUAAGCGACGGCUAACUACGUG